rnacentral:rRNA from 1 species
GACGAACGCUGGCGGCGUGCUUAACACAUGCAAGUCGAACGGAAAGGCCCUGCUUUUGCGGGGUGCUCGAGUGGCGAACGGGUGAGUAACACGUGAGUAACCUGCCCUUGAAUUUGGGAUAACUUCAGGAAACUGGGGCUAAUACCGGGUAGGAGCUCCUGCUGCAUGGUGGGGGUUGGAAAGUUUCGGCGGUUGUGGAUGGAUUCGAGGGUUAUCAGCUUGUUGGUGGGGUAGUGGCUUACCAAGGCUUCGAGGGGUAGCCGGCCUGGGAGCGUGACCGGCCACAUGAGGCCUGAGAUACGCCCCAGACUCCUACGGGCGGCAGCAGUGGGGAAUAUUGCACAAUGGGCGGAAGCCUGAUGCAGCAACGCCGCGUGCGGGAUGACGGCCUUCGGGUUGUAAACCGCUGUCGCCUGUGACGAAGCGUGAGUGACGGUAAUGGGUAAAGAAGCACCGGCUAACUACGUG